AGAGUUUGAUCCUGGCUCAGAAUGAACGCUGCGGCGUGUUUUAGGUUAUGCAAGUCGAACGCGAAAGGGAAGCUUGCUUCCCAAGUAGAGUGGCGAACGGGUGAGUAACACGUGGGUAAUCUGCCUUCAGGUGGGGAAUAACCGUGCUAACGCACGGCUAACACCGCAUGAAGUCACGUAUCGAGAGGUAUGUGAUGAAAGGGGGGGAUCCUUAUGGACCUUCUGCCUGAAGAUGAGCCCGCGGCUGAUUAGCUUGUUGGUGGGGUAAAGGCCUACCAAGGCGACGAUCAGUAGCCGGCCUGAGAGGGUGACCGGCCUCACUGGGACUGAGACAAGGCCCAGUCCCCUACGGGAGGCGCAGCCAAGAAUCUUGCGCAAUGGGCGAAAGCCUGACGCAGCGACGCCGCGUGGAGGAUGAAGGCUUUCAUAGUCGUAAACUCCUUUUCAGGGGGAGUAAUUGUAGAUUCGCUAAUAACGGAUUUGCUUGAAAGUACCUCUGGAAUAAGCUCCGGCCAACUCCGUGCCAGCAGCCGCGGUAACACGGGGGGAGCGAGCGUUAUUCGGAAUCACUGGGCGUAAAGGGUGUGUAGGCGGCUUCCUAAGUCUGGUGUGAAAUCCCUUGGCUUACCCAAGGAAUAGCAUCAGAUACUGGGUCGCUAGAGUUCGGGAGGGGGAAGUGGAAUUUCUGGUGUAGCGGUGAAAUGCGUAGAUAUCAGAAGGAACACCUGUGGCGAAGGCGACUUCCUGGCCCUGAACUGACGCUGAGGCACGAAAGCGUGGGGAGCAAACGGGAUUAGAGACCCCGGUAGUCCACGCUGUAAACGUUGGGUACUAGGUGUGGGGGAUAUCGACCUCCUCCGUGCCGCAGCUAACGCGUUAAGUACCCCGCCUGGGGACUACGGCCGCAAGGCUGAAACUCAAAGGAAUUGACGGGGGCCCGCACAAGCGGUGGAGCAUGUGGCUUAAUUCGAUCAACGCGAAGAACCUUACCGGGACUUGACAUGCGACCUGCAACCCUGGGAAACCAGGGGUUCCCCACAAGGGACAGGUUCACAGGUGGUGCAUGGCUGUCGUCAGCUCGUGUCGUGAGAUGUUGGGUUAAGUCCCGCAACGAGCGCAACCCUUGUCUUCAGUUGCCAGCGGGUAAUGCCGGGGACUCUGGAGAGACUGCCGGUGACAAACCGGUGGAAGGUGGGGACGACGUCAAGUCAUCAUGCCCCUUACGUUCCGGGCUGCACACGUGCUACAAUGGGCGGUACAAUGGGCUGCGAAGCCGCGAGGUGGAGCCAAUCUCAAAAAGCCGUCCCCAGUUCGGAUUGCAGGCUGCAAUUCGCCUGCAUGAAGGUGGAAUCGCUAGUAAUCGCGUAUCAGCAUGACGCGGUGAAUACGUUCUCGGGCCUUGUACACACCGCCCGUCACAUCAUCCGAGUUGGAUGCACUCGAAGUCGCUGACCCAACCCGCAAGGGAGGGAGGUGCCCAAGGUGUGUCUAGUGAGGAGGAUGAAGUCAACAAGGUA
rnacentral:rRNA from 1 species